rnacentral:rRNA from 1 species
AUUGAACGCUGGCGGCAGGCCUAACACAUGCAAGUCGAACGAGUGGCGGACGGGUGAGUAAUAUCUCGGAAAAUGCCCAAUAGCGGGGGAUAACUACUGGAAACAGUGGCUAAUACCGCAUACCAUUAGAUGUGCCCAUAUGGGAUUAGCUAGUUGGUGGGGUAACGGCUCACCAAGGAGACUAUCCCUAGCUGGUCUGAGAGGAUGACCAGCAACACUUGAACGGAGACACGGUCCAGACUCCUACGGUGGGAAGCAGUGGGGAAUAUUGCACAAUGGGCGAAAGCCUGAUGCAGCCAUGCCGCGUGUAUGAAGAAGGCCUUCGGGUUGUAAAGUACUUUCAGCGGGGAGGCGUUACCCGCAGAAGAAGCACCGGCUAACUCCGUGCCAGCAGCCGCGGUAAUUC